UGGAGAUCGAAUGAAAACGUUAUCGUUAUUAACGGCACGGUUUCACGGGGGAAAAGAUAAACCAAGUGUUGUUAACAAUUUUACGAGACCCGGAUGGAUGAUAAAACCGAGGCCAGAGUCAUGCUCUGUUUCGCGGAGGAUACAUAGUACGCAGUGGCGGUUGUGCAGCAAACUUGGAUGACUAUUUAGAGAUGAUAAAACUGCAAUCCUUGUGGAUUCAUUUUUACUGUUCUGGAACGUGGAACUGGUUAUUUUGUUAGUUUCAAUCCAAUUCAUUUCUUUUUUAUUCGAUUAACU